AUAAAUCUAGUAUAUCAAUUGAAAAGCAUCUGGAUUGCAUUACGCAUGGGUGGUUGUUGCAAAUUGGAGUACUAAACUUAAUUUACUUCUGUUGGCGAAUGAGAUCUCAAUCACUAAAGCUGUGAUUGUAAGAGGAGACCAUACUCAUCUAGUAGGAGAACAGAAUCCCUGAGGGAUGCAGCAUUUGGGACUAAAGUUUGCAAAAGCAACCACUACAUAACGUCUUUGUGUUUAACAGAUUAUUGGAGGCAGCGUAAUGUACUUGAUACUUUACUCCACCCAUAUUUGAACUAACCUUUGUUGCUCAGCUCUGAAGAAUAUAUCUGGGAUUGCCUUUAUGAGUUAAUGGAGUGGAAAUUCAUCAUCAGUUGCAUGAUGAUUAUUCAACAUCAGAGAUCCACACCACCCUGGCCACGCACUCUUUUCACCCCUGCCAUCAGGAAGAAGUGCCAAUUGUGAGGAUGCUGAAGUAGUUAAUAUUCACUAAAAUAAUCUCACAGAAGAAUCCACAGGCUGUGGUUUGUUCACUGAUGUGGUUAGAUUGAGGUUCUUUUUAGAGAUACAGUGCGGAAACAAGCCACUUCAGCCCACCGAGUCCACAGUCCACUGACCAGCAAUCACCCCAUACACUAACCUACACACCAGGGACAAUUUUGCAACUUGCCAAAGCCAAUUAACCUACAAACCUGUACGUCUUUGGAGUGUGGGAGGUAACUGGAGCACCCACAGAAAGCCACGCAGUCACAAGGAGGGCAUACAAACUCCAUACAGACAGCACCCAUAAACAGGAUCAAACCUGGGUCUCUGGUGCUGUAAGGCGGCAACUCUACCGCUGCGCCACUGUGCCACCCCGAUGCAGUGCAGUUUUCAUCACAGUCUGGGGCACAGUGGAUAAUACUCUGGAUGAGCAGCUGGAGUUUCAUAUAGAGACACAAGCUUGAACUCUGGACAAACUUGAACAGCUGGGGAAAUUAAAAUCAAUUAAACAACCUUGGAAUAAAGAGCAUGUAAUUAUGAAACCACCUGGUUGUCGUAUAAAAAGCUUUGCACGGUCAUUCCUUCCUCAAGGAGAGAAAGCUGUUCUCUUUGCCGACUUGCGGCUUCAGACACACCGAUCUAAUUACUUCCUCGGUUUCAGGCAAUUAGGAAUGGCAGCAUAGUCAGUGAUGUUCACGUUAUGUAAUGAAUAAUAAAACUUAGCUCAUUCCUGCUUGUUAGCUCAUCCCGUUGUUCUGAUGUGAUUUGAAAGGUGGCCUGUUUGAAAUGUGGCCUGUUUUCAGCCUGAAAUGUUAACUUUGCAUAAAUGCUACCUGACCAAUGCUUCAGCCUUCCUGUUUUUCUUUCAGAUUUCUACCACAUGGAGUCAGUUGGUUUUCACGAAAGUGCAGCCUUGCAUUACAGAAUUUGCAAUUAAAAGUUAGCUUUCUAAGUAAUAUAAAAUAUGGUCACCUUUUAAUUUAUCAUAUACCAGAACGAUAUGAUUAAUUCCCUAUUGCCCAGAGAGAACUCACAACAUUGAUUCAUACCCCAGUUCUGUAAAUUGGUUCCAUUCUCUUUGACGGAACAAAAUUUCAGAAUGCACUGAGUCUUUCCCAGAGUAGUCGAGGGUCAUAGGACAUAGGUACAAGGUGAAGGGGAAAGAUUUAAUAGGAUUUCGGGGGAUAACUUUUUUACACAGGGUGGGUGUAUGGAACAAGCUGCCAGAGGAGGUAGUUGAGGCUGGGACUCCCAUCGUUUAAGGAACAGUUUGACAGGUACAUGGAUAGGACAGGUUUGGAGGGAUAUGGACCAUGCGCAGGCAAGUGGGACUAGGGUAGCUGGGACAUUGUUGGCCAGUGUGGGUGAGUUGGGUCGAAGGGCCUGUUUCCACACUGUAUGACUAUGACUCUAACUGAAAUAUUUCUAAUAUUAUCUAAUCCAGGCAGCAUUCUGAUAAAACUCUACCGUACUCUUUCCAAAUCCUCCUCAUUUAUAUCAUAAUUUCUAUCUACCUCAUGUUCAUCUAUAAAGUCUGCUUAAAUGCAUCCAUAUUACUUGCCUCCACCACUUCCUGUUGUAGUGAGUUUUUACCAUUUUGGUGGUAAAUUAGCUUUGAAUUUAUUUUUGGAUUUUUUUGGUAAAAAUCUCAAUGUGAUCAUUGUUGCUUAUAAUUUAAUUUCUCUUCCUGUUCACUAUCGUCCUAGGUUGACCUAUCCUUCCAAAAUGUAAUUUAGCUUUGAAUACACUCAAUGAGACAAAUUGCACUGGCAUCAUCCCCCAUACCAUGCUUGCUACCCCUCCUCCAGUGUGAAUUUAUCCUUAGGAUUGUUAGAGAUGAUAAAAUUCAACAAGGAACAUUGUCAACAAGUGAUUAACUCAAUAAAAUGAUUCAACAAACAAUAAAGUUCAUGUUAGACUGAAAGCAUUCCUCUGCUUAAUGUGCUAAAUAUGUAUCAUGGUGGCACAUCUGUGGAUUUCAGAAAGCAGAUUGCGACUGCACACGCACAAUGUAAAAAACCCAGCAUAACUCAGCUGAAGGCAAGGAUCUAUACAAACAUUACUGAUGUUUACGCUUGUUGUCAAAAUGCAACGACUUUCUAAGUCUGCACCCUGUUUAAAUCCUAUCCAUGGUUAAUACUCAAUAAUUGACCACUAGUAAAUUGGAUUUAUUACUAAAUUAGGUAAAGUGACAUGUAAUUUGUGGCUUCUGCUUCUGAGUAAACUGUUUCCAGCAUGAUAAUUGAAAUGAUGCAGGCAGUGAUUAGAUUGUUGUUUAGAUGUUGCAUUUCAGAGGAAGUUAUAAAGGUCGCACGAUGGAGCCACUAAACAUUAAGUUGACCACUGGCAUGAAUAUGCGGCCACAAUGACACAGCACAUCCCCCAGAAUUCGUAAGUAGGUAUCGCCACAGUGAGUCACAAUCCAGCUGUAAUAUUUUUCCCAUUCAGUUUAUCUGUGUACCGCUAAUGACCCCAAUGACGUUUUUGAGAUGAGAAGUGAUACCCAUUUAUGGUCAUCUUACCAAAAUCCAAUUGCUUUUCCUGUUUUAUUAGCCUGUCUCGAUUCUGGGUAGCGAUAUUUUGUUUUGCACGGUUGUUGGGCUCCGAGAAUCCCCAUCUCAGUACAAAAUAAUUUACCAAACCAUAUUUUGUUGAUGAAGGGAAAAGAGCGCGGCAUUUUGUUUACGGUGGUGGCACUGGGUUAGCCAAAGCUUAGAGAACAUUGCUCUUCCUUUUGAAUAAGCAAAUCAUGUAAACUAAUUUCUCAUAAAAAAGUUUUGAGUGCAAAAUAUAGUGUAAAAUAACAGUGCCGUGUUGAAAGAGCACUGUGCUGUCUUGAAUAGACAAUUCAAAUAAUGUUUAGUUUUUAGUUUAGAGAUACAGAACAAGUCCUUUGGUCAACCGAGUCCGCACCAACCAUCGAUCACCCGUACACUAGUUCUAUGUUAUCCCAGUUUUGCAUUCUACAUGCUAGAGGCAAUUUACAGAAGCCAAUUAACUUACAAACGGGCACGUCUUUGGAAUGUGAGAAGGAACGGACACCCGGAGAAAACCCACACGGUCGGAGGAAGAACAUACAAACUCCAUACAGACAGCAUGCAUAGUCAGGAUCAAACCCGGGUCUCUGGUGCUGUAAGGCAUCUACUCUACAGUUGCAUCUCCAUGCCAUCUGUAAUGUUUUAAACUGUCGUCAGUAGGUUAAAAACAUUCCAUGCUACCAACUUUGGGUACGGUAGGGAAGUUAUAUUGACCAACAGCUAGAUUUCACUCAACUUUGGAAAGACAGAUAAUAUUGUCACCAUCUCAUGUCAUGUUUAUGGGAGAUUUCUGUUGGCAAAUUGUCUGUUGUGCUUCCUGUGUUACAACGGUGACUACACUUGAGGAUUCUGUUGACUGUUAAUGUGUUUGUACAUCCCAAAGUUGAGUGGUGCUUUCUUACACCAAAUCUUUCUUAUGCUGGGCAUUACUGUGAAAUAUGCUAUCACCUGGGUAAAGUCUUAAAACCACCUUCUCUGGUCAUUGCAUAAUUUAGGAAGUGCAACAUCGUUGGAUUCCUUCUUGAUCACUCUUCUCUCUGUGCCGCUUAUCUGUGGGAUCACUCUGGGUCAUGAACUUUAGCCUCGAUAGAUACGCAAUGCUAGAG